rnacentral:rRNA from 1 species
CGUGCCUAAUACAUGCAAGUCGAGCGGACAGAUGGGAGCUUGCUCCCUGAUGUUAGCGGCGGACGGGUGAGUAACACGUGGGUAACCUGCCUGUAAGACUGGGAUAACUCCGGGAAACCGGGGCUAAUACCGGAUGCUUGUUUGAACCGCAUGGUUCAAACAUAAAAGGUGGCUUCGGCUACCACUUACAGAUGGACCCGCGGCGCAUUAGCUAGUUGGUGAGGUAACGGCUCACCAAGGCAACGAUGCGUAGCCGACCUGAGAGGGUGAUCGGCCACACUGGGACUGAGACACGGCCCAGACUCCUACGGGAGGCAGCAGUAGGGAAUCUUCCGCAAUGGACGAAAGUCUGACGGAGCAACGCCGCGUGAGUGAUGAAGGUUUUCGGAUCGUAAAGCUCUGUUGUUAGGGAAGAACAAGUACCGUUCGAAUAGGGCGGUACCUUGACGGUACCUAACCAGAAAGCCACGGCUAACUACGUGCCAGCAGCCGCGGUAAUAC